rnacentral:rRNA from 1 species
UACAGAGGUCUCAAGCGUUGUUCGGAUUCAUUGGGCGUAAAGGGUGCGUAGGCGGCGCGGUAAGUCGGGGUGUGAAAUCUCGGAGCUCAACUCCAGAACUGCCUUUGAUACUGCAAAUCUCGAGUCCGGAAGAGGUGAGUGGAAUUCCUAGUGUAGAGGUGAAAUUCGUAGAUAUUAGGGAAGAACACCAGUGGCGAAGGGCGGCUCACUGGUCCGGUACUGACGCUGAGGUG